GAUGAACGCUAGCUACAGGCUUAACACAUGCAAGUCGAGGGGCAGCAUGACGAGUGCUUGCACUUGUUGAUGGCGACCGGCGCACGGGUGCGUAACGCGUAUCCAACCUUCCCUAUAGUAGAGAAUAGCCCGGCGAAAGUCGAAUUAAUGCUCUAUGUUCUUCUUUGAUGGCAUCUGACGAGAAGCAAAGAUUUAUCGCUAUAGGAUGGGGAUGCGUCUGAUUAGGUUGUAGGCGGGGUAACGGCCCACCUAGCCGACGAUCAGUAGGGGUUCUGAGAGGAAGGUCCCCCACAUUGGUACUGAGACACGGACCAAACUCC
rnacentral:rRNA from 1 species